AUUUUAAUAUAAUAAUUUUGGAGUUCUUUUAUGUGGUUAUAGAGAGAAAGAGAGGUCAUUCCUCUUUUCUUUUCUUGCUGAACACGAACAACUUCUCUUACUGUACGCGAAGGAAGAGGAAGAGUCUUCUCUUCAACAGAAAAAUCACCAUAGGAAGAUAAAGUCCAAAAUUGUGUUUCUUGGAUUGGAAUAAGUGAUUGGUUCUGAGGCAAUCGUUUUGGUCUUAUCAGUUUUUAUUCAUAGAUGAGAAAACCAUCAACAAUUGACACAUUCUUUAAAAGAAAGAAUGUUGAAGUUUCAACAUCUAAUGCACAUUCAGAUCCACCUGUUGAUAUUGAUCAUGUAAAUUCUGAAAAUCGCGCUACAAAAUCUUCAAGAGUUGAUAUUAAAGAAGGGUUUGAUUUCAAUUCAUUAAAGCGUGAUCCAGGACUACGACAACAAAUAUGGGAGUAUCCAAUUGAGAAGUGUGAUGAAGUUCGUAGAGCUUAUAUUAAAUCUGGUCCAUAUCAGAGUAUACUUUCUACUUAUCCAAAAUCAUGGGGAGCGCAUUCACGUAGUUUCCAGUCAUCUUAGUUUAAGCUAUUUCCUUCUUGGUUGGAAUGUUCUCUUAAUGUAGAUGCUGUAUUUUGUCUACCAUGCUAAAGAUGGACCCCCUGGAUUAGAUGCAUUUACUAUUAGUGGAUUUCGAACAUGGAAUAAGGUGGGAGGAAAACAUUGUUUGUUUUUGGCACAUAUUGGACAAGAUCCCACUUCACCUCAUAGAAACACAAAGAAAGCUUGUGCAGAUCUCAUGAACUAGCCAGCACAUGUUGCAAGAAGGUUUGCAAACUUCAAAUCAUAAGAAAUUACUGAAAAUAGACUUCGGUUGAAAACUUCAAUCAAGGGAAUUAGAUGGCUUGCAUUUCAAGGAUUGUCUUUUAAAGGUCGCAAUGAGUCCAUAACAUCAUGAAAUCGUGGAAACUUUGUAGAAAUAUUGAGUUACACAACUUCUUGUAGUGAUGAAGUAGCAGAAGUUUUAGAUAAAGCUCCUCGCAAUGCCUCAUAUACAUCACCAAAAAUUCAAAAACAGAUUUUGCACGUCUUGGCAAAUAAAGUGAGGAAUGCAAUUCGUGAAGAAAUUUGUGAUGCAAAAUUUUGUAUAAUAGUUGAUGAAGCAUGAGAUGAACCUAAAAAGGAGCAAAUGUCAAUUGUUUUGAGAUUUGUUGACAAAGAUGGAUGUGUUCAAGAACGCCUUUUCGAGCUUAUUCAUGUUAAAGACACUGCCGCGUUAACAUUAAAGCAAUGUAUUUUUUCUGUCAUCUCUAAUCAUAGUCUUGAUGUUCAUUCUAUUCGAUUACAAGGUUACGAUGGUGCAAGUAACACGUGUGGAUAAUGAAAUGGUUUGCAAGCUUUAAUUUCAAGUGAAUGUCCUUACGCUUAUUAUGUUCAUUGCUUUGCACAUCAUUUACAAUUGGCGUUAGUUGCUGCAUCUAGAGAAGUUAUUCCUAUCCAUCAAUUCUUCACCAAGUUAAACUCUAUUGUUAAUAUUGUUGGUGCUUCAUGUAAGCGUAAUGACCAAUUAAAAGUUGCUCAAGCUGAAAAUAUUGCUCAUUUACUUGAGAUUGAUGAACUAGAAAGUGGGAUAGGGCUUAAUCAAAUAGGUUCUUUACAAAGGGCAAGUGAUACUCGUUGGAGUUCUCACUUGAAAUAUAUUUCUAGUCUCAUAAAGAUGUUUAGUGCAACAUGUGAAGUUGUAUUAAAUAUUAUUGACGAUGGCACUACUUCUACUCAACGAGGAGAUGCUGAUGUAACUUAUGAGUCGGUAAAUUCUUUUGACUUUGCUUUCAUUUUGCAUCUCAUGAAUUUUUUUUGGAGAUUUCUAAUAUACUUUGUCAAGGUUUGAAACUUUAGUCUAAAGAUAUUUUAAAUGCAAUGCUUUUGGUUUCAUCUACUAAGAUCCUCAUUCAAAAGCUAAGAGAAGAUGGAUGGGACGAAUUAGUUGAUGAGGUGAAAUCUUUUUGUGAAUCUAUUAAUAUACAUGCACUAGAUUUUAGUGCUCAUUAUACUGUAAGAAGAGGAAGGGCUCGUUGCCAACAAGAUGUCAUUACAGUGGAGCAUUACUACAAAUUUGAUAUUUUCAAUGUAGUGAUAGACUUCAACUUCAAGAAUUAAACAACAAAAUCAAUGAUAACACAAUGGAGUAACUCAUUCUUAGUUCAUCUUUAGAUCCAAGAGAGACGCGUGUAUUAUUCAGAAUUGAUGACAUUUGCAAGCUGGUACACAAUUUUUAUCCAAAAGACUUUACAGAAUACGAGAUGAUACAGCUAAGGGUGCAAUUUGAACAUUUAGUUCAUGUGCGGCAGCUUCAUGAUUUUACAAUUUUGGCUACUAUUUAUGAUUUAUGUCAAUGGUUGGUAAGAACUAGAAAAGCAGAAGUCUUUCCUGUUGUGUAUAGAACGGUAACUCUUAUUCUUACACUUCCAGUUUCUACAGCUACCACAUGGUGUUCUUUUUCAACUAUGAAUACAGUGAAGACUACAAUUCGCAAUAAGAUGGAAGAUGAAUUUUUAAAUGAUUGUAUGCUAUUGUAUAUUGAAAAGGAAAUCGUUGAAAAUUUUAGUUUUGAUUCACUUAUAGAUGAUUUUAGUGAUAUGCAAGAAAGACGUCUUGUAUUUUAAUAUUGAUUAUGAAUUUAAUGAUGUAUUUUGAAAUAUUAGUUUUACUAAAAUUUUAAUAGUUAGGCCACCCCUAUUGUCUAAUCCUGGGUCCGUCUCUGAAUAUACAU